CUCAAUGAGAAAUUUUAGUUUUCUUAGCCGAAAGUUAAAAAAAUUCUUUCGAUUGGAGUUCGAGCAGUGAGUAAUAGGAGUAACUACUUCUUCACUUAUAUCAAUAGUUGUAUUUGUUAAAUUAAAUUGUUCAGUUGCUGUUUCAAUUAUCAUUACAUCAGCAUCAUUAUUAGCUUGUUUAACCAAUAUAUUUUCAGCAGUAAACUUUUCUUUCAACAUUGAAAUGAACCGAGAUUUGUUGUGACUAUUCACAAGAAAUUUCUGUUGACUCGUAGAAACUGUCAUAGAUUAAUCAAAUAAAAUAUCAGAAGAUGAAGAUGUUGCAGAAGUUCUACAACAUUGUUCUGCGGCAUCAAUAUUUCUCGUAAAGUCAUUGUAGCCAUCAUAUAUGAUAGUAACUCUGGGACCAAAAUGUCGACGUACAUACUAAAUGUAUCUAUCCAAGAUAAUACUGAAUGCUUUUUUGUACCCGACAUUCUCAUAUUUUAUAAUAUUUUAGAUGUGUAAGUUACACUGACUGAUAUAACGAUAUUUUUACUUAUAUUACAGCUCCAGUGAUGUAUAUACAUGGUGUACUUAUACAUAUUAUGACGAUUACUACUCUUUCAAGUUUUUGAAUCGUUAUAUUUUAAAAAAGGUGGCUUUUAGUAUGGGGGCGUCCAUUAAUUACGUGAGGCGUUUUUGAAAAUUUUUCGACCCCCCCUCCCCCCUUGGUGAGAUAUCGUAAGAUUUUCCUCAAAUCCCUCCUCCUCCCCUAAUCUCUCGCGAGAUUCUUCAAAACUUCGAUUUGGAUUGUAAACGUGUUGGAUUAUUGAGAAAAAAAAACUUGUUCUAUUACUUUUAUUGAAGACUAGCAAAAACAAGCAUUUGUAAAUAUUACCGUAAUUUAAAAUCACAAUCAUAAAAUUAAAUAAUGAAUAUCAAACAAAAAUUAAGGAAAGAUUUAUUCUAAUUCAGUCCAUGGAGGCUCCUGCACGGCCUCAAGAGUGACUACUGGAACCAACAUAUCCAAGUGUUUUUCAAUAAAAUCAUCUGCUCCUUCAACUUUGCUCUGAAUUAGCCACUCUAAGUCGUUGUUACUCGCGCACAGAAGUUCAGUAGCUCGUAUUGUGACAAUCCGCGAGGGUCGUGAUUUGCGCGUUUGCACAGUACGUGCAUGAUGGGCCACACGUCGAUGUUUGUCGAGUUGAGUUGCACGUGUCGAUACAGCUAAACAAUCGAGCGCUACUUCGCUGCUCUGCGAAGUUCGGACGAAUACGACAAAUACUAUUUUCUCAGAUUUGGCCAUAUUUUAUUCUAGAAAUAAUUUUUCACGAAAUUUUACACCGUUUUCUGCGAGAAAAAUAAUUAUGUGAUAUUUGUCAAGACCCCCUAAGUGAGAUUUGAAAAGACUUAGCUUGAUCCCCUCCCCCCUAGAACACCUCACCUAAUUAAUGGGUGCCCCCUAUUGGGAAACCUAAGGGUCUAAGGGUGGGGAGCAAUUACAUGCCUUUAGUAGUUACCAGACUUCAUGUAUAAUUAGUCACUAAGAAUAAAGAUUACAGUGCCGACGCGCGUUAUACGUUGAAUACAGUAGUAUCAUUUAUACGCUAUCCUACAGUAAGCUCAUUAGGUUAUGGGCCCAUGCACCAGGGUAUAGCUAUAAAUGUUCAAUACACUUAAUAAAUUUAAGGUUUCUAUUAUAUAUAACUCACUGGCAAAUAACUCCAUUAUUUCCUUCUACUCGCAUUCCACGCGUUCGAGAAUUUAAUUAUUUACUUGUUGUAUUCCAUGUAUAAUCACUUGAUACUUCUGAAUAAAUUAAACUCUUAGCAAAUGGAUUUUUUUGGCAUAGUUCAUAAAACGCUGUUAAAGUUGUUCGUGUUGGUGGUUCUGUCGCAUCUUUUCGUGCCGUUUCUGUAGUGAAAAAUACACGUUAUUUAUUUUCUAAGUGGACGGAUAAAUAGAGAACCGGCGGAUCUCGAUCGUGAAUUUGAAAACUUAAAAUUCGCCAAAUCGCUUCGUUAGUAUUAAUGUAACGACCCAUUUGAUACUGUACUAUCUCAUCAUGUUGGGUUUCUUUGGUUAUCGUAAAAACAGCCAUAUGAAUGCCUUUAUUAAUAUAUUUGCAUUCAUAUUCAAUCGAUUUGACAGAGCUAUAGAAUUUAACAUUAAUAUGGGCAUUAAACAUUUUAGAUAAAAGUGGAUUGUAUGGAGCUACCCAUUGAUUGUUAAUUCGAAUUUCUUCAUUGCCAUGUACUUUAAUUUUAGCUGUAAAUCCGCCUUGUUCUGGUGGUCGUCAUCUGUAUUUCGGAUAUCCGUCUUCACAGACGACUGUUUCGUUCAAAAAUGGCUUCGGAUAACGCUUCGUACAUUUUUCAUCUUUCAUGCACGGAGAACUUCUAUUUAGUUUGUAACAGGGUAAAAUUACCCUGAAUCGAUAAGUCGCCAGAGAUCGAUGGCUAUUCGACGCAGCACUGGCGUGUCUCAAUCUUCGGGCCUAAAGAGAGAGUAGGAGGGGGUAGUUUGGGGGUUAUUAUAGGUGAGCCAUGCAUUGUGACGGGGAGAAGUAAUGUAACCGCCAGACGGAACGUCACAAAAAUCAAGAGGGACCGUUCCCCGGAGUAGUUACCAGACGUAAGAAGCCAACAACAUCUAGUACUCCAAUCUCGAGUAGUGAGUUAGAUCGUCGUAUAUUCAACAAGGUAUCAAUAAUUACUCUGUGGGCUAGGAGUGGACUGCGGGGUUCAUACUCGGUUUACUUCUCCUCUGAUUAAGGGGUUAUAUACAGUUAGAAUUUACAAAAAAUCGAUUUUUUUUUAUUUUAUUUUCUUAAUGUAGAUAUAUUCAAGAAUACACACAGAAAAUUUCAUAUCGUCCCGGUGAAUAUUUUCAAAGUUACAAGCAAAUUUGAAAAGGCGUUUCAGAGAGCUUGGAAGUACAAGGUCGGAGCGGCAGCGCCUAUCUGGAACGCUAUCCCUUUUAUGCACCUGCCUAUUGUAAAUUCUCUCUUCUAAUGUAUUUAGAUGUGUUAAGCAACAGUGUGUUAGUGUUUUGCUAUACCUGAAAUGUAAAUUAGUAUUUUUCUAUCCCAAAACUGGACAAUAUUUAAGAGUGGUAGUCAGUAUAAACAACAAAGCCAAGCAGUAAACUUGUGAGUUUGUUCAUAUUUUUUUGUGUAAUUUUUCGUGAAAAUGAAGGCUUCCAGAGAAAUGAGAAAAUCUCUUAACAUGCGUAAGUCGAGAACAAAAAAGCGCAAAAAUGUUUUUAAUCCAAAAACAGCUGAAACGGAUGAAAGUAGUUUCAGUGUUUCGACGAAAAAAUUUAAAGAACAAGAGGAAAUCUCAGUUCCACGUGAUCCGUCUAUUGAGUAUCGCAUUUUAAAUUUUAUUACAGUAUUUGCAGCAAUUUCUGAAUAUGUGAAAUGUAAGAUCUGUGACGGAAAUGUCAAGUUUCAAACUGCUUCUGAACGAGGACUUGGUUUUAAAAUUGUUUUGCUGUGUGACAAGUGUGCAGAUCGUAACAUAAAUUCUAAUCCUUUUGACGCGCAUUCUUACGAAAUAAAUUGACGAUUUUUAUUUGUCAUGAGAGUCCUCGGAUUAGGGUUAAAAGGUGCAGCAAAAUUUUGUGGAUUAAUGGACAUGCGAGCCUUUAUAUCACAGCCCACUUACGAUUUGAUAAUAGAUAAUAUUCACUCCAGUAUAAAAACAGCUACCGAAAAACUUUUUCAACAGGCUUGUACUGAAGAAAAACAUUUGACUUCCGAACAUCAAGGCAAUGAAGAUUCGACAGAAUUAACUGUAUUUGGCGAUGGUGCAGGGAAAAAGCGAGGGUUUAGUUCCUUGUACGGUGUGACAUCAUUGAUCGGAUACUAUUCUGGUAAAAUCAUAGAUAUUGUUGUGAAAAGUUCCUACUGCAAACAGUGUGAAACUUGGAAGAAGAAACUCAGUACCGAAGAAUAUAAGGAAUGGUAUGCAGAACAUGAAGAUACUUGCACUGCAAAUCAUUCUGGUUCUUCUGGGAAAAUGGAAGUUGAUUCAGUCAUCGAAAUGUUCCAACGUUCAUUGAAAAAACUUGGAGUCAUGUACAAAAAUUACAUCGGAGACGGUGACUCCAAAACGUACUCAGGAAUUUUAAAGGCUGCACCUUAUGGUGAUCAAGAAGUUGUAUGUGUAGGUGGUUUUAACCAAAACAACAACGAGAGCGACAAUCAACUGAUUUGGAAAAUCUCUCCCAAAAUUGUUCCAGCUGGUUCGAAAACUGUGGAAAUUGCUGCAUACAUAGCUGCUGGCAUAUUUAAUGAAGGAAGGGCAUCACUAUUGUAUUAUAUGAAUGCAAUAGGAAUUACACUUGGCCCCACUGCGCAUUCAUAUGCCGAAAAAGAAGAUGAGAAGCGCGUGAGCAUUUCCGAUCUCAGAGCGCGUGAGAGCACCCGAGAUGGAAGAAUGGCUCGCAGAUAACAUCAGCUUGAGUUAUUAGAAGCUACUGAAUCGGCGGAGGGUGUAUUAUAUGGCCCUGGAAUAGACAACUCCAUGUAUUGUUUCUGGCUGUAGUGCAGCAAUCAUGUUUGCAGUAGUUUUCAUGAGUCUUACAUGGUUACGG
rnacentral:misc_RNA from 1 species